GACGAACGCUGGCGGCGUGCCUAAUACAUGCAAGUAGAACGCUGAAGCUUGGUGCUUGCACCGAGCGGAUGAGUUGCGAACGGGUGAGUAACGCGUAGGUAACCUGCCUGGUAGCGGGGGAUAACUAUUGGAAACGAUAGCUAAUACCGCAUAAUAGCAGUUGUUGCAUGACAACUGUUUAAAAGGUGCAAUUGCAUCACUACCAGAUGGACCUGCGUUGUAUUAGCUAGUUGGUGGGGUAACGGCUCACCAAGGCGACGAUACAUAGCCGACCUGAGAGGGUGAUCGGCCACACUGGGACUGAGACACGGCCCAGACUCCUACGGGAGGCAGCAGUAGGGAAUCUUCGGCAAUGGACGGAAGUCUGACCGAGCAACGCCGCGUGAGUGAAGAAGGUUUUCGGAUCGUAAAGCUCUGUUGUAAGAGAAGAAGGAGUGUGAGAGUGGAAAGUUCACACUGUGACGUAUCUACCAGAAAGGG
rnacentral:rRNA from 1 species